UACGUAGGGGGCGAGCGUUGUCCGAAGUUACUGGGCGUAAAGCGCGCGUAGGCGGGUUGGCAAGUCUGCUGUGAAAGCCCGGAGCUCAACUCCGGAGGGUCGGUGGAUACUGCCAGUCUUGAAGUGGCUAGGGGGAGAUGGAAUUACCGGUGUAGCGGUGAAAUGCGUAGAGAUCGGUAGGAACACCAGUGGCGAAGGCGGUCUCCUGGGGCCCACUUGACGCUGAGGCGCGAAAGCUGGGGGAGCAAACGGG
rnacentral:rRNA from 1 species